rnacentral:rRNA from 1 species
AUGUGGAGGUGGUACUCCAUCAAGGAGUUGGAGAGGACGAACGUCAGGUCGGACUCCUCCUUCGCCGCCUCCACCCGCGCCGCGGCACCUUCUUCUCCGGCGGCGGCCGCCUCCUUCGCCCGGUAUCACACGCGCUCCGCUCUCCGGAGCCGCUUGAGCACGGGCCAGAAGAUCUUGUCAAGGCGGCCAAAGUUGCGCCACACCCGCGAGCCACUCCUGCAGAAGUGUGCGUCGCGCUCCCGUGCCUGCACUUUGCACCACUCCUCCACCGGUGGGCGGAGGAAGGAGCUCCCCGCCACGCCACCGCGGCCCCCUCUGCCACCCCUCCCGCGACCAGCGCUCGGCAUUGGGGCGAGCUUUGGGUGCCUAGCCAAAAAGAGUGGCUCCAGCGGGCGCGCAAUAACCGCGCGCGCGGCAUAUGGAGUUGGGCGCGUGGUCCGAAUCGCCAACUCGCGCUAUGUAUUUGGGGCACCCGCUUCCGUGCGCGGCACACACGAGCGCUCACGCCGCACUCUCUCCUCCCCGCCACCUUCGCCCCGCGCCGGCGCCGGCGCCGGCGAACUUGACCCGAUGGACGCACGCGCCGGCACCCCGCUCACCCAAUCCUACAGCCGCGACCCCUCCACCGCCGCCGCCGCAAACCCUAGCGCGGGGAGCGUUGGCCUCGCCUCCGCCGGAGCUCCUCCGAGCAUCGGCCUCGCGUGCGGCCUCUUCAUGCCGCCGAGGGAUGGUGUCACGCCGAAGGGCAAGACAUCCACGAAGAAGAACAAGGCGGCGGACGGCUCCGCCACCUCGAAGGCGAGGAGGAAGAAGCUUGCAGGGCGUGUGACGGGCGCGACGGCUACCGAAGCGCCGGCGAGCUCACUCGUUGAGCCGGCGGCCGACGCGCACAACGUGUUCGACGAUAUGCCCCAAAGUCUCAACGAUGAUGCAUACAUGUCAACUAUGGGUGUUGGCUCCAACAAUUCGCAUUGGUCUCAAACCAAUGACAUGCAUUUUGAAGACCAUGAGUUCGAGGUGGAUGAGGAUGGUGAGGGCAUUGUCGACGCGCCGAAAGGAAGAGCGGGCAAUUACACCAACGCCGAAGACAUCUUACUAUGCAAUACUUGGUUGCAAGUGUCGAGGGAUCCAUCCGUUGGAGGUGAUCAAAGUAGAGAUGCUUAUUGGGGGCGGAUGAAAGAACACUUUGAUGUUUGCAACGUGAGUGGAAUUGACCGUUCCGAGCGAUCACUUCGGUCCCGGUGGUCGACAAUCAACAAGGAUUGUCAAAAGUGGGCGGCCGCACAAAAGGCGGUUGACAAGUUGAACCCAAGUGGCACCAAUGAGGACGAUAGAUACAUCAUUGCACAAAACUUGUUCAAAGGAGAGGAGAAGAGAACCAAGAAGGGGAAGAUCAAGAAAGGAAGGAUAUUUACCUUGCCUCAUUGCUAUGAAGUGUUGAAGGAUGAUGAGAAAUGGAAGAAGCGUGAUGAUUUGGAUGAUUUGGAUUUGAGCAACAAACGCAAGCGAACAAUUGAGUUGGAUGAUGAUGAGGAGGAGGAGGAUAAUGCAUCAAGUGAUGACGGCAAGAGAAGCCCCACGCCCAACUCGGUUUCAUACUCGAAGCCAAAACGACCGGAUGGGUGCAAGAAAGACGCAAAAGAAAAGAAGAAGAGGAAAGGAGAUGAUGAGCUAAAAAAUGCUAUGGAAGCUAUUGUGAAGGCAAGAAAAGAAGCCAACGAGGUGAGGAAAAUGGCAAGGAACCAAGAUGCCGCGGCUGAGGAGAGGAGGUUGGUAGCCGAGGAGAGGAGGGUGGCGGCCGAGGAGAGGAAGGUGGCUUUGGAGGAGAGGAACGUGAGCCAUGAGGAGCGAACUAGAUUGUUGGAAUGGGAGAAGCACUUGUUCUUCUUGGACACAUCUAUCCUCAAUGAGGCGCAAAAGGAGUAUGUCAAUCUUGCCCCUACCGUGGGCGGCUUAGGUGCCAUGGGUGGCUUUGGAGCUACCAUGGAGACCAUGGGAGCCAUGGGUGGCUUUGGAGCACCGCCCGGCGCCAUGGCCGCCAUGGGAGGCAUGAGUUUUGCUUCUCUCAUGGGAGGCAUGGGUGCACCUCCGGCCGCCAUGGGCGGAAUGUCUUCCGGUGUGCCUCACACACCUUCUCAUGAAGAUGCCGUUGAAGAUCUUGCCAACACUGUCCGAGCUUCACGUGAUGCGGUGCGCGACAAUGAUGAUGAGGAGGAGGAAGAAUCAUCUUCGGAGGAGGAAGAAUCGGCUUCCGAAGAUGAGGACGAAGACGAGGAUGAGGCUUGA